rnacentral:lncRNA from 1 species
GUGAGAACAUUUAAAUUGACCUGGAGGAAAUAGGGAAGGUCUUAUAGAGAAGAACAUAUUUCAGCUGGGUCUUGGAAUUUGCCACAGAAAGAAGAUAUGGGUAGAAAAAGGUCAAGGGUCACGUGAGUUGAGUUAAAUUGAGAAGCAUAUUGGGUUAAGAGAAAUUCCCAGGAGAAUAAGUUAAGAAAAUCUUAUAUCAGUGCCAGGAGAGGUCACAUUAAUAGGAACGAUGGACCCUAGAGUCAAAGAGAGGUGGGGUUGGGGAGGAUGCAAAGAUAAGGAUAAGACUCGUGACUUCUUAUCCUUAGUCAGAGUGUAGAGGACAGCAAGCCAGGUGGUCCUUGCAAGCUGUUUUGGCCGUCAGAGCCCAUCUCAUCUGUUCUUGAAGCGUCAGUGGUGAGAUAUUGGAUGUGACAUCUUACUGGAACAGUAGGAUGAAUUCUGAUUUCAUGUACCUUCGCCCAACUUUGAGCUCUCCGGUAGGUGGAAUCUUCUCUAGGGAUGGAAAAGUUGUGAAAAUUUGCAGUGUGUCAGGAAAUUUGGCAGUAGGAACUGGAAUCCUAUAUUUGAUAUAUGGUGUCAUCCUAUAUCCUAAUGUAUGAAAUUUGGUAUCAGGCUAUUUUGGAUAUAAGGGUCUAGCAUAGCUUGCGGUAUAAAUGUACUCUUCCUUUAAGCCAAGCUUCUUGGAGCAUUUUGAGCAAUAAACUUGAACUUGCCAGAUGCAUUGGGAUUUUUUAAAUAGACUUCCUUAACUGAAAAGUUACAUGGCAAUUGAAGUGGCAGAGCUGCUGAUGCCAGUGCCGAGGGGACAGUGAAUACCCUAGAAGCUGGAUGCUAUGAUUUUGACAUAUGGGUUUUAAGGAAUUGGAGGAAAGAAAGCUCAAUAUCUGAAAUUUUGACUCAGAGAGAGUUUGCAGGUGCCUAUGGCUCUGGAGAACCAAAUAUAACAGCUCCGGAAGAAGGAAUGGGGCUUGAAUGCCAGGCAUUAUGUUAGAAACUUUCUCAUCUGCCAGGCCAUUUGAUCUUCACCCAACAAGGCUAGAGGCAAGGACUUAGCAUCACCACAUUCAGUUGAGAAAAUGGGUGUUCACGAAAGAUUUGAUAACUUAUCCAGAAUCUCACAUAGCUAAAAGGUGGCAGAACCAGGAUUCAAACCCAGGCCUGCAGGAUGCCAAUAGCUUUCUCCUAGUCAACCCCUUGACUUCUUUCUGAAGAUCUCUUCUCUUUUCCCAUGAGCUCUGGUCUACCUAGAGGGCCCUGGGCAUCUCUUUUGAUGGCUUGGGAGCCAGAGAAGCAGCCUCCAGUAGUUUCACAAAAUACACCUGAAUCAGGUUGCAGUGAUUUAAUAAUGAAGCCAGAUUUAUGGAGUUAAGAAACAUUAAGUCCUUCCUUUCCUUUCCUGGGGUUGAGGGGCCUUCUUGCUGCCAACCAAAAACCACAGUGGUUUCUCAUUCUCUAAGGCUGCACUUGGAGGCUCAGGCUUCCAAGAUACAGGAAAUAUAGACGAGCACAUUUUCAAAGUUCUCACAACACGGAGAGAGCCGACUCAGCAGUCAUCCAGGGUCCAACUCACUCUGAAUGGGCAAUUUUCCCAGGCCCUGAAGCGACAUCUGGAAUUGGACAUAAAAGCUCAGGAGAGCACCAGCCGUGAAGAACUUGUCCACUUGCAAGGAGAGAAUGGUGGGAAGACUCAAGGACCAGCUCUGGCAAAAUGGGAAAAGUAUUUCCUUUCAUCAUCUCAAGAGCUUCCUUUUUAUUCUCUCUCUUUCUCUUCUAACAAAGCCAGUUCAUAAGAAUUGAUCUUAUAUUGUUUCAGUAAAUAUCAAACAACAAAUAAGUAUUUUACUGCUGGGAAAACAGAGAGAGUCUCCAUCCUCUGGGAACUUGGUUUAGUUGGGGGAUGCAGAAAAGCAAACGUGUAAUGUGCCAAUUUGAUUGAAAAACAGAAAUUAGUUUCCUACUGUCAAGUGCCUAGUACUAUGCCUGGUGCAUAGCAGAAACUCAGUAUUUGCUGAGUUACAAAUGAAUGAAUCCUGAGGUGGGAAAAUUUGCUUGUUUCUGGAGUGUGAACACCGACUUGUUUUUCCUGUAAACCUUUUCCUGACCUCCCCAUCUUUCUAGUCCUCUGGGUUCCCUGUACUUCAGCUCCUCUUUCUGUUGACAUGUUUGCCUUCUCUGUUAUACCAAAGGACUUUUU